rnacentral:rRNA from 1 species
UACGUAGGGCGCAAGCGUUGUCCGGAAUUAUUGGGCGUAAAGAGCUCGUAGGCGGCCUGUUACGUCUGCUGUGAAAUCCCGGGGCUUAACCCCGGGCGUGCAGUGGAUACGGGCAGGCUGGAGGCAGGCAGGGGAGAACGGAAUUCCCGGUGUAGCGGUGAAAUGCGCAGAUAUCGGGAGGAACACCGGUGGCGAAGGCGGUUCUCUGGGCCUGUUCUGACGCUGAGGUGCGAAAGCGUGGGGAGCAAACAGG